UCUAUUCAUACGUGUAAUAAUCGUCAAAUCAUACGGUGGACUUGCGAUAAUCCCGCCGAGUUUUAACGAUUGGGAACACCCAAAACAGGUGCGAACUAAAGGAGGACAACACUGCAAAAGACUAAGCACAAAUGUUCCUACUGGAGGAUUGACAGCGGUAGGUAAUGGGACCUGUUGGGAUCCAUGUGGCGUUGCUGACGCUGACCGAGGUGCAUAAACUGGCUGUUGCAUUGACGUCAUAUAACGUAGAAAAACUAUCCUAACAUAAAACUAAACCCUAAUACUAACCCUUACCCAGUAACCCUAACCUAACCCUAACCUAAACC
rnacentral:lncRNA from 1 species